AGUGAACGCUGGCGGUAGGCCUAACACAUGCAAGUCGAACGGCAGCACAGUAAGAGCUUGCUCUUACGGGUGGCGAGUGGCGGACGGGUGAGGAAUACAUCGGAAUCUACUUUUUCGUGGGGGAUAACGUAGGGAAACUUACGCUAAUACCUCAUACGACCUACGGGUGAAAGCAGGGGAUCUUCGGACCUUGCGCGAUUGAAUGAGCCGAGGUCGGAUUAGCUAGUUGGCGGGGUAAUGGCCCACCAAGGCGACGAUCCGUAGCUGGUCUGAGAGGAUGAUCAGCCACACUGGAACUGAGACACGGUCCAGACUCCUACGGGAGGCAGCAGUGGGGAAUAUUGGACAAUGGGCGCAAGCCUGAUCCAGCCAUACCGCGUGGGUGAAGAAGGCCUUCGGGUUGUAAAGCCCUGUUGUUGGGAAAGAAAAGCAGCAGGAUAAAACACGGCUGUUCUGACGGUACCCAAAGAAUAAGCACCGGCUAACUUCGUG
rnacentral:rRNA from 1 species